GUUCUUCACCACUGCACACUUGGCAGGAUGUAUCCCAUUUUAAAACUUGACAGUCCAUCUCCUUCACUCCCAUACUGUAGGGCUAGGCAAGCAAAGCAAACUGAUUCUGCAAUGCUUCUAAUAGUUAUUCCUGCUCAUUAUUUUAGCUAGAUGUAUUCUAAAGUCUUUAUCCCAAAGAGUUGAAUCAAAGGUUCUUCCACUCCUCCAACCUGAUUGUGCUGACAAGCCACUAAGCUGAGCCAUCUAAUAUACAGGGUGGCAGGGAUGAAGUCACCGUUACUGUCCAACAGCUUUUAUUUUAAGCUGGUGUGGGCUGGGCAUAUCAAAGACAGGCAAAGAAAAAUAACUUGGAGAGUUGCCAUUGAGGAUAUAUCCACAGUGAGCCAACAGCACCCACACAAGCAGCCCUCGUCUGUAUAAUGCCCUCUACUGGGUCUUGAGGGAGAUUAAAAAGAAAGAUCUCUUCCAUCCUGGGGAACCUGAGAUAUGACAGCAGCACACAAAUACAGGCAGAUUUAUAGUUCUAAGCAGAGUUCCAGUAGCUAAGCUAAGGGAAGGAGAGUCAGGAGAUAAGCUGUUAGCUGAAUUUUAUUAAAGACAGAUGACUUCACUAGUAAAGAUAAAGUGGGACCUCCCGUGGUUGGGCUGCAAUAUUUUAAGUCCCAAGUGACUGCUGAAUACUCGCUUUGCAGUUGGAAAAAUAAGCUGUUUUUGGCCAGAUAAACAGUGUAAGAGGUCAUCUCUGCUCUAGAGGAACAUGUAACCUAAUUGAGACACUUCUACAUAUAAUGCAAGAUAGCAUAUGGUUAGUCAAGUAGUAGAAUUCUGAGAAGAGAAAAUCUGACUGGACUCAUUAGGUAAACAUAAGUGGUGGAAAUGGACAUUUAACUGGGCCUUGAAAGGUGGGUAGUAUUUAAACAGUGCAGUUACUUAAUAAGUGUCCACAAUAUGCCUGGCAUUGUGCUAAAAUACAAGGUAAAUUGUAUGUGGCUGCCUCUUUCAAGGAGAUUACAUUGUAGUGGUGACCUACACAUGAAGAAAUCAUAUUACAGUGUUAAACUUACAGCAGUGGUGGUCUAGCUAUACAGAGGAAUAGGGACAAGUAAUUAAUUAAUAAUAGUUGCUUUUUUUUUUUUUUUUUUCUGAGACAGAGUCUCACUUCGUCACUGGAGUGUAGUGGUGUGAUCUUGGCUCACUGGAACCUCCACCUCUGGGUUCAAGUGAUUCUGCCUCACCCUACGGAGUAGCUGGGAUUACAGGCAUGUGCCACCAUGCCCUGCUAAUUUUUGUAUUUUUGGUAGAGAUGGUGUAUCACCAUGUUGGCCAGGCCAGUCUUGAACUCCUCACCUCAAGUGAUCCACCCACCUCAGCCUCCCAAAGUGCUGGGAUUGCAGGCUUGAGCCACUGCUCCUGGCCUGUUGGUUUUUUUUUCU
rnacentral:lncRNA from 1 species